rnacentral:rRNA from 1 species
UGGGGAAUAUUGCACAAUGGGCGCAAGCCUGAUGCAGCCAUGCCGCGUGUAUGAAGAAGGCCUUCGGGUUGUAAAGUACUUUCAGUCGGGAGGAAGGUGUCAAGGUUAAUAACCUUGGCAAUUGACGUUACCGACAGAAGAAGCACCGGCUAACUCCGUGCCAGCAGCCGCGGUAAUACGGAGGGUGCAAGCGUUAAUCGGAAUUACUGGGCGUAAAGCGCACGCAGGCGGUUUGUUAAGUCAGAUGUGAAAUCCCCGGGCUCAACCUGGGAAAUGCAUCUGAUACUGGCAAGCUUGAGUCUCGUAGAGGGGGGUAGAAUUCCAGGUGUAGCGGUGAAAUGCGUAGAGAUCUGGAGGAAUACCGGUGGCGAAGGCGGCCCCCUGGACGAAGACUGACGCUCAGGUGCGAAAGCGUGGGGAGCAAACAGG